rnacentral:ncRNA from 1 species
AUAAAAUAAUUAUGUUUUUAGAAAUUUAUUAUAAAUUUAUUUUACAUAUAAAUUUUAGUAUAUGAUUUUAAUUAUUUAAAUAAUAAUUAAUUUAUUUUUGUAGUAAUUAAUAUUAAAAAUUUAAGAAAUUAAGAUUUAGUAAUAUAAAAAUUAAUAACUAAUUUUGUGCCAGCAGUUGCGGUUAAACAAAAGUUAAAUUAAAUUAUUUCAGUAUAUAAUAAAUAAUUAAUUUAUUAAAAUAAAUAUUGAAUUAUUAAGUGAAAUUUUAAUUUAAUUAAAUUUUAUUUUAAAAUUAUGAUUUAAUAAAUUUUAAUAUAAACUAGGAUUAGAUACCCUAUUAUUAAAAAUUUAAUUUAUAAUACUAAAAUAGUAAAUAAUAAUUUAUUGAAACUUAAAUAAUAUGGCGGUAUUUUAGUUCAUUUAGAGGAAUCUGUCUAAUAAUUGAUAAUCCACGAAUAAAUUUACUUAAUUUAUAAUUUUGUAUAUCAUUGUUAAAAAAAUAUUUUUUAGGAAAAAUAAUAUUUAAAAAUUAUAAUAAAAAAUUAAAUCAGAUCAAGAUGCAGAAUAUAAUUAAGAAUAUGAUGGAUUACAUUAAAUAUAUUUAUAUGAAUAAUUUUAUUGUAAUAAAAAUUUGAAGGUGGAUUUAAAUGUAAUUUUAAUUAGUUUAUUAAAAUGAUUAAAAAUUAAAAUAUGUACAUAUUGCCCGUCACUUUCAUUUAAAAAUUGAAAUAAGUCGUAACAAAGUAGAGGUACUGGAAAGUGUUUCUAGAAAGA